AUUGAACGCUGGCGGCAUGCUUUACACAUGCAAGUCGAACGGUAACAGGUUAAGCUGACGAGUGGCGAACGGGUGAGUAAUGCAUCGGAACGUGCCCGAUCGUGGGGGAUAACGCAGCGAAAGCUGCGCUAAUACCGCAUACGAUCUGAGGAUGAAAGCGGGGGACCGUAAGGCCUCGCGCGAUCGGAGCGGCCGAUGUCAGAUUAGGUAGUUGGUGGGGUAAAGGCCCACCAAGCCGAGGAUCUGUAGCUGGUCUGAGAGGACGACCAGCCACACUGGGACUGAGACACGGCCCAGACUCCUACGGGAGGUAGCAGUGGGGAAUUUUGGACAAUGGGCGAAAGCCUGAUCCAGCAAUGCCGCGUGCAGGAAGAAGGCCUUCGGGUUGUAAACUGCUUUUGUACGGAGCGAAAAGGUCCCUUCUAAUACAAGGGGCUCAUGACGGUACCGUAAGAAUAAGCUCCGGCUAACUACGUGCCAGCCGCCGCGGUAA
rnacentral:rRNA from 1 species